rnacentral:rRNA from 1 species
AUUGAACGCUGGCGGCAGGCUUAACACAUGCAAGUCGAGCGGGCGAGGUUGCUUCGGUAACUGAGCUAGCGGCGGACGGGUGAGUAAUGCUUAGGAAUCUGCCUAUUAGUGGGGGACAACAUUCCGAAAGGGAUGCUAAUACCGCAUACGUCCUACGGGAGAAAGCAGGGGAUCAUUUGACCUUGCGCUAAUAGAUGAGCCUAAGUCGGAUUAGCUAGUUGGUGGGGUAAAGGCCUACCAAGGCGACGAUCUGUAGCGGGUCUGAGAGGAUGAUCCGCCACACUGGGACUGAGACACGGCCCAGACUCCUACGGGAGGCAGCAGUGGGGAAUAUUGGACAAUGGGGGGAACCCUGAUCCAGCCAUGCCGCGUGUGUGAAGAAGGCCUUUUGGUUGUAAAGCACUUUAAGUGGGGAGGAGGCUUACCUGGUUAAUACCUGGGCUAAGUGGACGUUACCCACAGAAUAAGCACCGGCUAACUCUGUGCCAGCCGCCGCGGUAAUAC